rnacentral:rRNA from 1 species
UACGUAGGGUGCGAGCGUUGUCCGGAAUUAUUGGGCGUAAAGAGCUUGUAGGCGGUUUGUCGCGUCUGCCGUGAAAAUUCGAGGCUCAACCUCGAACUUGCGGUGGGUACGGGCAGACUAGAGUGUGGUAGGGGAGACUGGAAUUCCAGGUGUAGCGGUGAAAUGCGCAGAUAUCAGGAGGAACACCGAUGGCGAAGGCAGGUCUCUGGGCCACUACUGACGCUGAGAAGCGAAAGCAUGGGGAGCGAACAGG